UCGUCACACUAUCAUUAACUGAAUCCAUAGGUUAAUGAGGCGAACCGGGGGAACUGAAACAUCUAAGUACCCCGAGGAAAAGAAAUCAACCGAGAUUCCCCCAGUAGCGGCGAGCGAACGGGGAGGAGCCCAGAGCCUGAAUCAGCAUGUGUGUUAGUGGAAGCGUCUGGAAAGGCGCGCGAUACAGGGUGACAGCCCCGUACACAAAAGCGCAUGUGCUGUGAGCUCGAUGAGUAGGGCGGGACACGUGGUAUCCUGUCUGAAUAUGGGGGGACCAUCCUCCAAGGCUAAAUACUCCUGACUGACCGAUAGUGAACCAGUACCGUGAGGGAAAGGCGAAAAGAACCCCGGCGAGGGGAGUGAAAAAGAACCUGAAACCGUGUACGUACAAGCAGUGGGAGCACAGGUUUACCUGUGUGACUGCGUACCUUUUGUAUAAUGGGUCAGCGACUUAUAUUCUGUAGCAAG
rnacentral:rRNA from 1 species